rnacentral:rRNA from 1 species
ACAGAGGUCCCAAGCGUUGUUCGGAUUCACUGGGCGUAAAGGGUGCGUAGGUGGCUACUUUAAGUUUGAUGUGAAAGCUCCGGGCUUAACCCGGAAAUGGCAUUGAAGACUAUUGAGCUAGAGGUUUGGAGGGGGGACUGGAAUGCUUGGUGUAGCAGUGAAAUGCGUAGAUAUCAAGCGGAACACCGGUGGCGAAGGCGAGUCCCUGGACAACACCUGACACUGAGGCACGAAAGCGUGGGGAUCAAACAGGA